AAACUACCUUUAACUCUUUGCCCGCCAGCAUUUUUAAAAAAAGUUGCCAGCCAGCGCCAGGGUUUUUGACAAUUUUCGCUAAACUUUAAUGGCCCACAGAAUAUUUUCUUCUAUGAAUAUAUGAACAUGUUACAUAUCAAAAUAAAGAUCUGAGUCUCUGCUUUUAAACAAAAAAAAAUAUUUUAUUUUAUCUUCAUUUAUUAUUUUUUUAUUGCCACCUGAACAUAGAUAGGUUUUGUCAAAAACACAACAUUCUGGACAAAAAGCUGAGAAAAAGCCAUUUUUAUGAAACAAGUGCAUUUUCAAGCAGAAUACAUUCAGAUGUCAUUUUAACAUAUAUAAAACCUUCCAAAAUAUAUUACAAUUAAACAUAAAUCUAAUUAAAUUUAGGCACUGUAAUUUGCUUUUGAGUGGUACACAGAGUAACAUUUCCCAGGAUGUAAGGGGACGCCACAACUUUUGCAGUAGAACGAGGUCUCCUUCCGCAACCCCUUACGUACACAAACUCUGCAUCCUCUGGUUGGGUGUUGCUUUUUGGGAGUGGGCAGGAUUGGAACAAGUUCAUGAACAGCAAAACUGACAUUCAGUCUGUUUUUUGGGUCAGUGUUGUAUGGUGCUCUUGGAGUGUUUUCAGUAGCACUUUUCUCCCCACCACUAGCACACUCUUGGCUGGUCCAUGAUUUUAUAACACUCUGGAUGAAUGAGAGAAGAGUGUUACAAUUACCCUGUGGGUUUUUCGCUUUGUAAAUGAAAAAAGCGUUGAACAAACUGAUCUGAAACAGGUACAUGACAAAUUUCUUUGUCCACACUGUAAAAUUUUUCCAGGAUUUCACAAGAUAUAACUGUAAUAUUUCACAGUUAAUUACAUUAUUACCACUUCACAGGCUUUAACUGUGAUAAUUCACAAUAUAAUACCGUAUUUAGACUUUUACUGUGAAAAUAAUGCAGGCGCGGGGCUUUUACAAGAAACUACUGUGAAUGCCGUCUUUUUUGAGUGGCAACUGCGGCAGCGUCAUCAGAGCGUCAUCAGAGCUCUCUGAUCUACGUGGUCUCAUUCGGUGGAUUCAGACAGCGCAUUUUCUACAUUGACCAACGAUAAAUAAAGUUAUAAGGUGCUUCUUGGGCAUCAACCCAGAGACGGGCACAAAAUCUAAGAGGCAGAGAGGUCACAUGAACCAGCAAGUCUGCACUCUUAUCAGGAAGCUCAUUGACUUCGAAUGGAUGUCAAUCUAAUUGGAUAGAACCCACACUAUGCAGGUUCCAGCUGCGAGGGAAGGAGAGAGACACCUGCGACCCUCUCUAUUCCCACCUUUUUGUCUUUUCUUACAUCUCUCUCCCUCACUCUCUCUUCUCUGUCUCCUUUCUCUUUUGACACACAUUCCUGUUACCCAGUGUCAAUCCCUGUUGCCCAGUGUUUUAUUCAUGUAAUUAAAUUGUAUUUUACUUCUAAAAAAUAAAAGUUAUGUCACUGUUUUUA